rnacentral:tRNA from 1 species
GCUGGUGUGGCUCAGUGGAUAGAGCAUCAGUCUGUGGACUGAAGGGUCGCGGGUUCAAUUCCUGUCAAGGCA